AGAAAUCAGAGAAAAAAAACCUAAAAAAGAAACAACAAGCUCUGGUUCUCCUCAAUGGCUUAGAAAAAGAGGUGGGGAUGAAUGAAUGCUGGAGGUUGAGACAAGUUGAUUAUUAGUUGGGCUAUGUUGGAGAGAUGACUUGGAGUGGGUUUGAAAGGCUACUUGCAGAGGAGGUUUAGAGUAUGUGUUUCUGAGUGUGAAGACGAGAUGGUUGAGUUUACAAUGGGAUAAUGGUUGUACCAUUUUUAAGAGCAAAGUUAGGGCCAAGUGAAUAGUGGGUCUUCAUAUUUGGAAGAGCUAGAAUGGGUUUGUUGUUGAGAUUCUGUGAAAGUAAGGUCAUCGAUGGUAUGAAACGUUGAUGGAGGGCGAGGAGUUGGUGGGUGAUGGAAGCUGUCUUUGUGUGGAAGCUAUGUGAAGAAAGAGGAGCUUUGAUGUUGAGUGGGAAGGGCGAAAGGUAAAGGUAAAACGGACGUGGAGCUAAAGUGCAUUGAAGGGGGUGAAAUGGGUCAAAAGGGUGGUUUUGGUGCCAUUGAGAGCAUGUUUAUUGGAUUAAAUGUUAG
rnacentral:misc_RNA from 1 species